GUACAUUGGACACACGAGGGCAUACGGGUUGCUUAUGAAUCGUGCACUUCUGCGAGUAGCUGUACAUCUAAUAUUCUCAAUCUUACAAAAUACAAGUUAAUGGGAGAUGACCGCAGCACAUCGCUUACAAUAAUCAAUUUAACCUCUAGUGACAAUGGGAUAUUUACAUGCAAUGUAUUUUACCCAGAUGGCAAACAUUCAGCGAAUGAAAUACUGGAAGUACUAAAUCCAGUUCCACCAUCACAGAUAUUUAUGUCUGAUACCCAAUCAGGCCGACAAUACUUGAACAACGCCAAUAUAAGUGUAAUUGCUGGGGAUUCGUAUAGCAUCACAUGUGGAGCAAAUAGAGCAAGGCCUCCUGCAGAAUUACACUGGCAAAUACUAGAGGACGUAACUGUUGAUCAUCAGGAUCAAUCUGAUGUCAUCCACUAUGGAUCUUACAUCUCCCAGAAAACUUUGGCAAUCACAUCCACCAGAGACGAUCACGGGAAGAUUCUUAGCUGCACCGCAUCACACCCAGAACUACAAAAUAAUAUCAGAUUCUCAGUUUUUGUGAAUGUUCAUGUUCUGCCGGCUAGUGUGCUUCUCUUUCCGACCGGAGGUAACCAGUCACAAUCAACAGUCCUAUUUGUUCAAGAAGAUUCACCGACUUCAAUCACGUGUAAAAGUAUUGGAUCAUUCCCAGCUACUGAACUAUCAUUCUGGUUAGUUGGUGAGUCUGACAGGACUCGGAUCCAUGCAAAUGUCUCAAGCAAUAGGAGUGUUGUAGACGACACUUUGUUUGACACUGAAAGUACCAUAACCAUACGGCCAGAUGCCAUUAACCAUGGAAUGCACAUCGCAUGUUCCUCGUAUAUGGAAGGCGCCUUCUUUGUUAAAAUAGUAGCAGUCAGACUAAUUGUUUACG